rnacentral:rRNA from 1 species
UACGUAGGGGGCUAGCGUUGUCCGGAAUCACUGGGCGUAAAGGGUUCGCAGGCGGUCAAUUAAGUCAGAUGUGAAAGCCCCGAGCUUAACUUGGGAAUUGCAUCUGAAACUGGUUGGCUAGAGUCUUGUAGAGGGGGGUAGAAUUCCAUGUGUAGCGGUGAAAUGCGUAGAGAUGUGGAGGAAUACCGGUGGCGAAGGCGACUUUCUGGCCAUAAACUGACGCUGAGGUACGAAAGCGUGGGUAGCAAACAGG